CUCGGCGCCCUGAUACGGAGCGGCCUGCGCCUGGGCCGGCGGGGCAGGGUUGUGGCUGGCCUGGGCCGUGCUUGUGGGGAUCUGCCAUUGACUCUGCUCUUUUCGACAAACAUUCUCCUUUUACUGCAAUGAAUCCUGAAAGUCUCAUGAUUCUUUAUGAGGAUGACUCUGUAGAGGUGCACUAUAUAGAUGGAUCCAGACUGCUGCUUUCUCCAUGUGGCUCUGAAUUCCUGUUUGAAAAGGCACUUCCUGUCUCUGCCCAUCCUCUGCAGCCAGCUGAAAGGAUUCGCCAAAGGACUCAGUUUGUUAUUAGUACCUACAGAGAGGAACUCCUACGAGCAAUAGGUUUCCGGAACCAGUUUUGUACUUCCUUGUAUUUACCUUCAAGUAUCAUACCUUCUGAAAGGAAAAAUAGUCUUCUCUCUGAUAUCUCCGAAAUCAAUUGGCCUAGCCCCAAUGCUACUGAUGCAGUAGAAUGUAUGGAUAAUGGCAGUGUAAAAAUCUCAUCCUUAGAUGGUCGUGCUUAUCUCUGCAUGUCAGAACUGCAGCAAGAGUUUUCAGUGGAGUUUUUAUGCAAAGUAAGCCAAAAGUGUACUGCGUCUUCAUCUUUCUCUGAAAAAAACAGCAAUAAUCAAAACAAAGGUCAGCAUGGAAAAUCAAGCAGAAGUGUUAUCUCAGAAAUGUUUCCUAAACAAAUGAGAAUGGAGAAUAAGAAAGAGGAAAAUUGCUGGGCUAUAAACAAAUGCAGGGAACUGGACAAAUCAAAGGACUAUUUAAACCAACUAAAAGGACAAGAUGAGACCCCAUUGUCUCUUACACGCUGUUCAUCUGAAUACGUGUGGGUUAUGCAGCGCUGGUCUGUUUUCUCAUAUCCAGAAGAAUGGAAAUACCCUUUAUCUUUGGCAUUAAUGUUCUAUCAAUCGCACACUGAUAACAUAUGUAAAACAUAUGUGGAGAAUAAAUGCACUAGAAAUGGAACUGCAGGAUCUGAUGUUUUAAAGGAAACUGAAAAAACAAAGGUAGUUUCUCAUUUGCCUAGAGCUUUGCCACUCAGCUGUAGUGCACCACACCUACACAGGUGGAGUUUCUGUGACCUCUUUCUACAGAGGAAGCAAGACACUGAACAUAAUUCACACCCUCUGCUAAUAAAAAUUGUUUGGUGCCAGGGUAUUAUUUACAGGUUUAUCCAUGAGAUUGAAAACUUUAUAGAAAUUUAUCCUGGAGAUGGAUCAGUUUUCAAGUCAGAAGGAGCAUUUUUGGGAAACUAUUUUACACAUUAUUCAGUUCACAAAGAAACAAGACAGAGAGAAAAAAAAAUGUAUUCAGCAAACAGUCUGCCUCCUGAUACACCAGAAAGUCCAUACUCUAUCUGUUCCAUUAUUACCCAGGCAACCAGAAUUCUCCAAUACUGUCACAAGACUAAACUUUCAUUAACCCAUAAUUACAGUAUCUGCUGCUGGAGAAUGAUACCAGGGACAGAUGGAAGAGAAAUGCUGCCAGUUCCAUUGCAUGAAACAGUUAUUCCCAAUGUGGGGAGACUUGUUGCAUAUUCAGAUAAUAAAGUCCAUGCUCUGUUUUGUGAUGGGAUGACCUUGAAUAUGGUUUGGGAUUUCAACUCUUGCUAUGGAAGAACACAGAACAAUGAUGCUCUUUUGUCUUUCUCUUCCAAGAUAAAUCAAGGUGGUACCACAGGAUGGUGUAAAGUAAUUUCUCCUGAUGGGGCACAGCAGCUAAUCCAGAUAAAAGAUCCUGGAAUCUAUGAAAGGUACAUCAGAAUUAUAGUAGCAUGGUGCAGAAGUUUGAAUGAUGAGGCAGAGACUCUUCCUGCAACUGAGAGGAACUGGUCUGUUGUUGCUGAACUUGAGAAAAUACAAAGAUUUAACUUCUUACUGCAGAACAGCAAUGUUCCAAACAAGACUUCGGCUAUGAAAAAUAAUCCAUCUCAUAUUACUGAUAGACAACCAGAAAACAGUUUACCUGAGGAUAUCGGUGAAAGGAGCAUAUCGGAGGCUUUGGAAAAAACGUCAAAAGUCAUCCAAGAUAUUGAAUCUCUCCUAGCCUCCUCUAGGAAGUGACGCUUGAGCAAGCAUGUGAAAGACCAGCAUUAUUUAAAUGUUUAUGGGCUCUAUCCUGCAGUCUUAUGCAUCAAGUGGGAUUUUUGGGUGUGCAAAGAAUGAAAGAUCAGGCCCUAAGAGUUGGAAACCUGUAAUUUUUGUUCUGAAUAAUUGACACUCUCCUACUCUAACAACAGAAUUCUAAUCUGCCAUACAGACAUACAAAGGAUAGAACAGAAAUGAGGUUAUCAUACUUCUACAUACUGUAGAUAAAGAAAAAGUCUUCUAGAUCAUCUUCUCUGUUCCUAACCUUAUCAGCCAGACAGGAUUAUUCCCUCCAGAAUAUUCUCAGCUGCUUUAUCUAGUCUUGUGUUAAACCACUAAUGAAAAGAAGCUUGCGCUAUCAACAUUAUUUCCAAAACCCACAACACUCCAAUAGUUCAUAAAAUGCUCUGUAACAAUUUUCAGCAUGAACAAGGUUUUUGUGUUUUUAGCAUUGAUACUUUGGAACAUAAUGGUGGAGGUGUGUGUAAUCUUCCUGAAAAGGCACUUGGGACCCCGUGUCAUGCCCUAUGGCUCAGCCUGCAACCAACUUUAGUACUGUACAUACUUGUUCAUAAGCUGAAUAUUUUUGGUAAAAAAAUGACACAUUGAAAAGCAGGGGUUGGCUUAUAAACGGGUCUAAACCAAAAUUUGAUGAUUUUAAACUCUAUGGAAUCAUUUAAUUGAAUAUCUAAUACAUUGUUUUGUUUACCUGGAGCAUCCGCAGGCAUGGAGCUCCUCAGCUCCCUGUGGCUCCAGUUUGCCAU